AGUUGCCCACCACAAGUUUUUUUUUUCUGAUUACUCAAUAGUAUUUCUUCUUACAGUUGCUGCAGACUAACAUCUUAAUCAAACGAAGUGAUAUGCCACCUACAUGCUCAUAAAAUACAAAUGAUAUUUUCAUCAUGUUAUUUGAAAACAAAUACUGCAGAACAUAAGAUCCACUAAACCACUCAAUUUGUACCAUCUUGCAGCUUGUUUUUUAUUUACACAUCCACUAUCUCACGAACAUAUAACUUAUCUUAGAUUUCAAGUUAUAAGUUCAUUUUUUACUCUUCUCGUGCUCUAGUCAUGUAUCACUUGUAAAUAUCAUAACAUUGUAUUGCUUCUUAAAUCCUCAUUAGUUUUUGGUUUUGAUGUAUCUCAAUUCGACUUCUUCAAAUGCUUGUGCUCUGAGAAGCUGUAUAACUACUAUACCAUUCAACAGAAGGCGAGAGGGUAUUACACAGGUUACAUACAAUAUGACAUUUUUCACCUGACCGAGCAUAUGAACUUAGAUAACAGACUAUGGACAACUCGAAUUGGGAUAAAAGGAAAAUGGAGGUGAUCAAAUUUGAAGGGUCGCCACAAGUCAAUUUGAUCUCACUGAAGUGGAUAAUGAAAAGUUUUUAAACUAUUCUUAAAGUUUGAAUACAUUAUGUUUGAUUUUGUGAAAUAUAUUCCUUGCUAGAAUAAAUUGAACUAUUGUACGA